rnacentral:misc_RNA from 1 species
UAGAUGCUUGGAAGCUCCUUUUCUCAGCUAGUCCUUUCUUGUAUAUAUCGAAUUUCUUCGUAUUCCAUACCAUUAUGGAAGUUGCAGAAAAAGCAGAUAGGCUCCAUAUCAUACACCUUGGUGUUGUGUAUGGUUUCCCAUGGUCCUCCCUAAUCCAUCAUCUCUCAACAAGACCUGGAGGCCCUCCUGUGCUUCGUGUUACAAGAAUGGAGAUCCCCG